rnacentral:rRNA from 1 species
AACGAACGCUGGCGGCAUGCCUAACACAUGCAAGUCGAACGAGAUCUUCGGGUCUAGUGGCGCACGGGUGCGUAACGCGUGGGAAUCUGCCCUUUGGUUUGGAAUAACAGUUGGAAACGACUGCUAAUACCGGAUGAUGACGAAAGUCCAAAGAUUUAUCGACAGAGGAUGAGCCCGCGUAGGAUUAGCUAGUUGGUGUGGUAAAGGAGCACAAAGGCGACGAUCCUUAGCUGGUCUGAGAGGAUGAUCAGCCACACUGGGACUGAGACACGGCCCAGACUCCUACGGGAGGCAGCAGUGGGGAAUAUUGGACAAUGGGCGAAAGCCUGAUGCAGCAAUGCCGCGUGAGUGAUGAAGGCCUUAGGGUUGUAAAGCUCUUUUACCCGGGAUGAUAAUGACAGUACCGGGAGAAUAAGCUCCGGCUAACUCCGUGCCAGCCGCCGCGGUAA